CGGGACGGGUGAGUAAUGUCUGGGAAACUGCCUGAUGGAGGGGGGUAACUACUGGAAACGGUAGCUAAUACCGCAUAACGUCGCAAGACCAAAGAGGGGGACCUUCGGGCCUCUCGCCAUCGGAUGUGCCCAGAUGGGAUUAGCUAGUAGGUGGGGUAACGGCUCACCUAGGCGACGAUCCCUAGCUGGUCUGAGAGGAUGACCAGCCACACUGGAACUGAGACACGGUCCAG
rnacentral:rRNA from 1 species